rnacentral:rRNA from 1 species
GCACAAGCGGUGGAUGAUGUGGUUUAAUUCGAUGCAACGACGAAAACCUUACCCACCUUUGACAUGUACGGAACUCGCCAGAGAUGGCUUGGUGCUCGAAAGAGAACCGUAACACAGGUGCUGCAUGGCUGUCGUCAGCUCGUGUCGUGAGAUGUUGGGUUAAGUCCCGCAACGAGCGCAACCCUUGUCAUUAGUUGCUACAUUUAGUUGGGCACUCUAAUGAGACUGCCGGUGACAAGCCGGAGGAAGGUGGGGAUGACGUCAAGUCCUCAUGGCCCUUAUAGGUGGGGCUACACACGUCAUACAAUGGCUGGUACAGAGGGUUGCCAACCCGCGAGGGGGAGCUAAUCCCAUAAAGCCAGUCGUAGUCCGGAUCGCAGUCUGCAACUCGACUGCGUGAAGUCGGAAUCGCUAGUAAUCGCGGAUCAGAAUGUCGCGGUGAAUACGUUCCCGGGCCUU